rnacentral:rRNA from 1 species
UACGUAGGGUGCGAGCGUUGUCCGGAAUUAUUGGGCGUAAAGAGCUCGUAGGCGGUGUGUCGCGUCGGCCGUGAAAACCUGGGGCUUAACUCUGGGCGUGCGGUCGAUACGGGCAUCACUAGAGUUCGGCAGGGGAGACUGGAAUUCCUGGUGUAGCGGUGAAAUGCGCAGAUAUCAGGAGGAACACCGGUGGCGAAGGCGGGUCUCUGGGCCGAUACUGAUGCUGAGGAGCGAAAGCAUGGGUAGCGAACAGG